rnacentral:pre_miRNA from 1 species
UUAACUCGAAUUUGUAUGGGGUUCGAACGUUUGCCGCUAGGGGCGCUGUUCCUGCUGCAUACAAAUUUGAGUUC